rnacentral:misc_RNA from 1 species
GUGAAUCAUCAAAUUUUUGAACGCAAAUUGCACUCUCCGGUUUUCCGGGAGAGUAUGCCUGUUUGAGGGUCAGACUAAAAAAAUCGACAUCGUUGCUGUUUCAUAGUGGUGUUCGUCGGAGAUUGGGUUAUCUUAUAUCUUUGGUUUAAGCGAAUUGAAAUUUUUUUUACGAUUCCAUGUACGUUUCUAAGAUUUAUUUCUUUACACGUUUAAGGUGUCGAUUUUUAUUAGGCGUGGCCGUGAUAUCGAUCAUGUAUCUAAUCGU